rnacentral:rRNA from 1 species
GUGGAUUAGAUACCCUGGUAGUCCACGCUGUAAACGAUGAUCACUCGUUGUUGGCGAUAUACUGUCAGCGACUGAGCGAAAGCAUUAAGUGAUCCACCUGGGGAGUACGGCGGCAACGUUGAAACUCAAAGGAAUUGACGGGGGCCCGCACAAGCGGAGGAGCAUGUGGUUUAAUUCGAUGAUACGCGAGGAACCUUACCUGGGCUUAAAUGUAGGACGACGUUUCGUGAAAGCGGAAUUUCCUUCGGGACGUCUUACAAGGUGCUGCAUGGCCGUCGCCAACU